rnacentral:rRNA from 1 species
UGGGGAAUAUUGCACAAUGGGCGAAAGCCUGAUGCAGCAACGCCGCGUGAGUGAUGAAGGCCUUCGGGUUGUAAAGCUCUGUCUUCUGGGACGAUAAUGACGGUACCAGAGGAGGAAGCCACGGCUAACUACGUGCCAGCAGCCGCGGUAAUACGAAGGGGGCUAGCGUUGUUCGGAAUUACUGGGCGUAAAGCGCACGUAGGCGGAUUGUUAAGUGAGGGGUGAAAUCCCAGGGCUCAACCCUGGAACUGCCUUUCAUACUGGCAAUCUAGAGUCCGGAAGAGGUGAGUGGAAUUCCGAGUGUAGAGGUGAAAUUCGUAGAUAUUCGGAGGAACACCAGUGGCGAAGGCGGCUCACUGGUCCGGUACUGACGCUGAGGUGCGAAAGCGUGGGGAGCAAACA